rnacentral:rRNA from 1 species
AUUGAACGCUGGCGGCAGGCUUAACACAUGCAAGUCGAGCGGGGGAGGUUACUUCGGUAAUUGACCUAGCGGCGGACGGGUGAGUAAUACUUAGGAAUCUGCCUAUUAAUGGGGGACAACAUCUCGAAAGGGAUGCUAAUACCGCAUACGCCCUACGGGGGAAAGCAGGGGAUCACUUGUGACCUUGCGUUAAUAGAUGAGCCUAAGUCGGAUUAGCUAGUUGGUGGGGUAAAGGCCUACCAAGGCGACGAUCUGUAGCGGGUCUGAGAGGAUGAUCCGCCACACUGGGACUGAGACACGGCCCAGACUCCUACGGGAGGCAGCAGUGGGGAAUAUUGGACAAUGGGGGGAACCCUGAUCCAGCCAUGCCGCGUGUGUGAAGAAGGCCUUAUGGUUGUAAAGUACUUUAAGCGAGGAGGAGGCUCUUUUGGUUAAUACCCAAGAUGAGUGGACGUUACUCGCAGAAUAAGCACCGGCUAACUCUGUGCCAGCCGCCGCCGUAA